AUUUCCUUCCCAGAAUUUGAAAUCAGAGGAGACAAGUGAUGAGCCCUAUAAAUCCCAUAGGCAUUCGAAAUCUCGCUAAUCUCACAGCGACAGUGUCGGCCACUGCCAUCAGCCAAACACCCCUCAAAAGGUCUUGGUACCACUCUGCUGUUAAUGGACUGCUCAAGGUUGGAGCUCGCAGCAUGUCAAUUGGGUCGUUAUUCAUCAGCCCGGCAUUUACCAUUUAAAGCUCCCAAACAAGCAACAGUAGAACAAGUGCUAGGUUCAUGGUCCUCGGCUACUCAAAAUUGCCGGGAGAGCCCUCAAUAUGUAGAGAUUUAACUCAUCCAAGUAUAGGGAUUUGCAUGUGGAGUGGGAAUGGAGGAUUAGGACAUAAUCCUCAUGCUGUUUUGGAUGGGGACGGUGUCAUCAUCGUAAGCCAUGGUUCGUAUUGUUAGGUAUAAAAUGUUAUGCUAAGUAAGCAAUCAAAUAUUGAUAUUGUAGGCUACAUUAAUAGUUCAAAACCACUUGAUAUUAGUUGCUGUGACAACUGCCUUUAAAUUCU